rnacentral:misc_RNA from 1 species
GGAAAGUCCACUCGCCGGACCUUUUGAAGAAUCUCUUUUACUCCGUGCAGGCAGACUUGGUGCAACAUCUUCAUCUGAAAAAGAAUCUUCGCGAACAGGUUUCAAAGAGCUCUUAUCAGAUUUUGCAAGGGAAUACUUUUUAACAGGAGAAGCCUUCUCUUUGAUUUUGUACUCAGCGGCCUUCAGCUUCUCUUCAGAUCCAUUUGUGCCAGCCAUACUCUCCUCUGGCCCACCCUCAUCAUCUUCUUCCUCACUCUUAACAUGGUCAUCUGUAUCACCAU